rnacentral:misc_RNA from 1 species
CCGAGUUAUACAACUCACUCCAAACCCCUGUGAACAUACCUAUAACGUUGCUUCGGCGGGAAUCCGCCCGGCGCCCUCGUACACCGGGAUCAGGCGCCCCGCCGGAGGACCCCACUAACUCUUGUAUUUCUUAUAGUAUCUUUCUGAGUAAACAUAGCAAAUAAAUUA